rnacentral:rRNA from 1 species
CCUACGGGAGUCAGCAGUGAGGACUAUUGGUCAAUGGACGAGAGUCUGAACCAGCCAAGUAGCGUGAAGGAUGACUGCCCUAUGGGUUGUAAACUUCUUUUAUAAAGGAAUAAAACGAGGCACGUGUGCCUUUUUGCAUGUACUUUAUGAAUAAGGAUAGGCUAACUCCGUGCCAGCAGCCGCGGUAAUACGGAGGAUCCGAGCGUUAUCCGGAUUGAUUGGGUUUAAAGGGAGCGUAGAUGGGUUGUUAAGUCAGUUGUGAAAGUUUGCGGCUCAACCGUAAAAUUGCAAUUGAUACUGGCAGUCUUGAGUACAGUUGAGGUAGGCGGAAUUCGUGGUGUAGCGGUGAAAUGCUUAGAUAUCACGAAGAACCCCGAUUGCGAAGGCAGCUUACUAAACUGUGACUGACAUUGAUGCUCGAAAGUGUGGGUAUCAAACAGGAUUAGAUACCCCUGUAGUC